UGCUUGAAUUUUGAUUCAAAUCUUAUCAAAUUAUGCAUUGAUUAACACAUGGUACAAAGAACUGUCAAUCUUAUCUUCCGCCUCAAUAUUCCAAUUAUUGGAUUGCUUGAUGAAACAAUUAAUAUAUACUUUUCAAUGCUGAUUGUUUUUUCUUCCCUAUAAUACAAAACAUUUUACAAAGAAAAUCAUCCUGUAGUCUGCAGUGGUUGUGGUUUUCCUUGCCAUGCAUGACAAUCAAUAUUCUUUUAUUUUCUCCAUCUCACAUUACCCCCCAAUUUAAGUAUAGUUUGCUGAGCUUCAGUUCAUCCAUAUUCAAAUAAGUUCCACUUUGUCAUGAAGUAAAGGCAGUAUCCUAGCUUAUUUUGACCUUAACUGUUUGUUUUAAAGUUGGGCAAGUUUUUAAAAAUCACAAAGUUUGUUUUGAAAUUCAAAUUUUGUCGAAAACCACAAUGUGGUUGGCACAAGAAUAAACAACUGAAGAACACAACCCUCCUAUAAGUCAGCACUGUAUAGAACUGCCUAACUGUUCCUCAACAAAUCCAUUUUAUUUGUGUCCAGGAAUAAUCAAACUCAUGUAUUAAGAGUGUGCUGGGAUAAAUAAGACAGGACUAUUAAACAAUGAGGCAGUUCUAACAGUGCUAAUUUUAAAAGUAUUGUAUACUUCAAUUGAUCACUAAUUGCUUUUGUAAGAUUCAAUAUCUGAAGACUCGAAUAACAUCCAGAGUCAACAUUGAAACAAACAUUGUGAUUUUCAGAUAAACUUUCCAAACUUUCAACAAACACUGAAAGUCCACUUAAACAAGAGAAGAUUGAGAUGGAACAUAAGUUUAAAAAAACCACCUCAAUCGUCUCAAUGUUUAACUGAUGUAACAAAGCCAAACACUGACAAACUUUUCAAUUUUUUAUAUUCGACAAAAACUUUGGAAAUAUGUAGAAACAACUAUGUUCUCAGAUAGAACAUAG